rnacentral:rRNA from 1 species
ACAGCAGUAGCCACGGUAAUACGAAGGGUGCAAGCGUUACUCGGAAUUACUGGGCGUAAAGCGUGCGUAGGUGGUGGUUUAAGUCCGUUGUGAAAGCCCUGGGCUCAACCUGGGAAUUGCAGUGGAUACUGGGUCACUAGAGUGUGGUAGAGGAUAGUGGAAUUUCCGGUGUAGCAGUGAAAUGCGUAGAGAUCGGAAGGAACAUCUGUGGCGAAGGCGACUAUCUGGGCCAACACUGACACUGAGGCACGAAAGCGUGGGGAGCAAACAGGAUUAGAUACCCGUGUAGUCCCUGUCUCUUAUAC